AUGUUGUUGGUUGUUUUUGUUGUGAUCCAAAGGCAAAGACGGAUAGCACUAUACAAGCUAGGAGUAUACAGGAUCCCAGAUCAAAUCAGAGCGGACACUGAAGCUUGUCUCCUUGAAGCUUUUCUUGGCCUGCCAAGAUUGGACGGAAAUGGCGUAAUAGGUCUAGCGAAAUCCCGGACACACGAGCAGAUGGCUGAAAACGAUGGCAUAUCAGCAAUCAGCGGUCCAGAUGCAAAGGCGACCCGAUUUUCCAGAAAAACACGGGCCAAAGAACCAAAUUGGAUUGGAUUUCUGAAAGAGUCAAUCUCUCUGAACAAAAAAAUACAGCGGACUUGCAUGCGUAUGUGUAGGCCUGACGCAAUCGCCGGCUGCUUCCGGCGAGUGAUAGAGCGAGCUCAUGCUUUGCGUGCAAGGUGCAACCUUGUGUACGCCGCUAGGAAUAGGAUUGAUUUGCAACAUAAUACUUGA
rnacentral:rRNA from 1 species